GUUUUGAUUGCGAACAGCUGACAGCGAAGUGUCGACAUUUUCAUAUGAUGCAUGGCUUGCAAACUUCGAUAGUGGAAAAUGCAUCUCAACUAUCGUUUGGGAGAUUAAAAAGCCUAAAACAGACUCUUGUUACAACAUAGCGGCCACAUGGCUUUUACCUGUUCAUUCUUGUGGUUUCAGCUCUUGAGGUUAACCUGUCACCCCUACCCACAUGCAUAUUCCUUAUGUUCUACAGACUUUUUAGCAGUAAUUCAAAUUAAAUUGGAUAAUGCAUGAACAAAAAUGAAACUUUAAGAAGGUAUCAUGCCUUGUUUGGUUUUUGUUGAUAAGAAAUUAUGACAAACAAAGAAAUUUACUUUUUUUACCGUGUUGUGAAGUUUUGUUUUUCAAUAAAAGUCUGCAAUUAUG
rnacentral:sRNA from 1 species